rnacentral:misc_RNA from 1 species
UGAGAUUGUUGCUGAUGGUGUGGAUCCUAAGCAACAAACAUUCUUCUUUUGUUCAAAGCCACUAAGACGGAGGGAACAGCCAGAUUUAGUUCAAAAUUCAAAGCAUGUGCACCCACUUGUUUUAGAUUCAGAUUUCCCUUCAAUGAAUGAUCUCAAUGGAAGGACUAAUGGUGUUGCGGACGCUGUGGAGUGUGAUCCUUCAAGUUCCAAUGGUGCUAGUGUUCCCUCAUCCGGUAACUUGUAUACAGAUCCUGAUUCUGUUCAGUCAGCAUCAGGAAGCACUCUUGCACCCCCAGCACUGCUUCAGUUUGCUAAGUCAAGAAAGUUAUCAGUUGAGCGCUCUGAUCCCAGAAAUCGUGCACUCCUGCAAAAAAGGCAAUUCUUUCAUUCUCAUAGGGCCCAGCCCAUGGCACUGGAGCAAGUUUUAUCGGACCGAGACAGUGAGGAUGAAGUUG